rnacentral:rRNA from 1 species
CCCUUAGAUGUUCUGGGCCGCACGCGCGCUACACUGAUGCAUUCAACAAGCCUAGCCUUGACCGAGAGGUCCGGGUAAUCUUUGAAACUGCAUCGUGAUGGGGCUAGAUUAUUGCAAUUAUUAAUCUUCAACGAGGAAUGCCUAGUAAGCGUGAUUCAUCAAAUCGCGUUGAUUACGUCCCUGCCCUUUGUACACACCGCCCGUCGCUCCUACCGAUUGGGUGUGCUGGUGAAAUGUUCGGAUCGGCCGUUUGUCGCGGUUUCCGCGUCAUGUGGCUGAGAAGUUCAUUAAACCCUCCCACCUAGAGGAAGGAGAAGUCGUAACA